rnacentral:ncRNA from 1 species
GGUCUCCGCAAAGUCGUAAGACCAUGUAUGGGGGUUGACGCCUGCCCAGUGCCAGAAGGUUAAGGAAGUUGGUGACCUGAUGACGGGGAAGCCAGCGACCAAAGCCCCGGUGAACGACGACUGUAACUAUAACGGUCCUAAGGUAGCGAAAUUCCUUGUCAGGUAAGUUCCGAACCGCACGAAAGGCGUAACGAUCUGGGCACUGUCUCGGAGAGAGACUCGGUGAAAUAAACAUGUCUGUGAAGAUGCGGACUACCUGCACCUGGAUAGAAAGACCCUAUGAAGCUUUACUAUUCCCUGGGAUUGUCUUUGGGUUCUUCUUGUACAGCUUAGGUGGAAGGCGAAGAAGGCUCCCUCUCGGGGGGGCUUGAGUCACUAGUGAGAUACCACUCUGGAAGAUAUAGAAUUAUAACCUUGUGUCAGGACCUACGGGCCAAGGGACAGUCUCAGGUAGACAGUUUCUAUGGGGCAUAGUCCUCCCAAAAGGUAAUGGAGGCGUGCAAAGGUUUCCUCGGGCCAGACGGAAAUCGGCCCUCGAGUG